CCUUUAACAUAGUUAAAGAGACCUGAUCCAGUCUGAUCUCAGGAGCUAAGCAAGGCCAGGCCUGGAUAGGACUUGGAUGGGAGACUGUGGGGAAUACCAGGUGCCACAAGGG
rnacentral:rRNA from 1 species